UUAAAUUGAAGAGUUUGAUCAUGGCUCAGAUUGAACGCUGGCGGCAGGCCUAACACAUGCAAGUCGAACGGUAACAGGAAGCAGCUUGCUGCUUUGCUGACGAGUGGCGGACGGGUGAGUAAUGUCUGGGAAACUGCCUGAUGGAGGGGGAUAACUACUGGAAACGGUGGCUAAUACCGCAUAACGUCGCAAGACCAAAGAGGGGGACCUUCGGGCCUCUUGCCAUCAGAUGUGCCCAGAUGGGAUUAGCUUGUUGGUGAGGUAACGGCUCACCAAGGCGACGAUCCCUAGCUGGUCUGAGAGGAUGACCAGCCACACUGGAACUGAGACACGGUCCAGACUCCUACGGGAGGCAGCAGUGGGGAAUAUUGCACAAUGGGCGCAAGCCUGAUGCAGCCAUGCCGCGUGUAUGAAGAAGGCCUUCGGGUUGUAAAGUACUUUCAGCGGGGAGGAAGGUGUUGUGGUUAAUAACCGCAGCAAUUGACGUUACCCGCAGAAGAAGCACCGGCUAACUCCGUGCCAGCAGCCGCGGUAAUACGGAGGGUGCAAGCGUUAAUCGGAAUUACUGGGCGUAAAGCGCACGCAGGCGGUCUGUCAAGUCGGAUGUGAAAUCCCCGGGCUCAACCUGGGAACUGCAUUCGAAACUGGCAGGCUUGAGUCUUGUAGAGGGGGGUAGAAUUCCAGGUGUAGCGGUGAAAUGCGUAGAGAUCUGGAGGAAUACCGGUGGCGAAGGCGGCCCCCUGGACAAAGACUGACGCUCAGGUGCGAAAGCGUGGGGAGCAAACAGGAUUAGAUACCCUGGUAGUCCACGCCGUAAACGAUGUCUACUUGGAGGUUGUGCCCUUGAGGCGUGGCUUCCGGAGCUAACGCGUUAAGUAGACCGCCUGGGGAGUACGGCCGCAAGGUUAAAACUCAAAUGAAUUGACGGGGGCCCGCACAAGCGGUGGAGCAUGUGGUUUAAUUCGAUGCAACGCGAAGAACCUUACCUGGUCUUGACAUCCACAGAAGAAUCCAGAGAUGGAUUUGUGCCUUCGGGAACUGUGAGACAGGUGCUGCAUGGCUGUCGUCAGCUCGUGUUGUGAAAUGUUGGGUUAAGUCCCGCAACGAGCGCAACCCUUAUCCUUUGUUGCCAGCGAUUAGGUCGGGAACUCAAAGGAGACUGCCAGUGAUAAACUGGAGGAAGGUGGGGAUGACGUCAAGUCAUCAUGGCCCUUACGACCAGGGCUACACACGUGCUACAAUGGCGCAUACAAAGAGAAGCGACCUCGCGAGAGCAAGCGGACCUCAUAAAGUGCGUCGUAGUCCGGAUUGGAGUCUGCAACUCGACUCCAUGAAGUCGGAAUCGCUAGUAAUCGUGGAUCAGAAUGCCACGGUGAAUACGUUCCCGGGCCUUGUACACACCGCCCGUCACACCAUGGGAGUGGGUUGCAAAAGAAGUAGGUAGCUUAACCUUCGGGAGGGCGCUUACCACUUUGUGAUUCAUGACUGGGGUGAAGUCGUAACAAGGUAACCGUAGGGGAACCUGCGGUUGGAUCACCUCCUUACCUUAAAGAAGC
rnacentral:rRNA from 2 species